rfam:Glycine soja cultivar W05 scaffold53_14, whole genome shotgun sequence.
GAGUGUCACAUCAUCAUGCCUUGUCACAGACACUUCAUUGUCACGUCAUUGAGGGUGAUAACGUGACAAUGAGGUGUCCAUGGCAAGGGGUGAUGUUGUGACAUUUUGU